GAUGAAGAACGUAGCGAAAUGCGAUAAGUAGUGUGAAUUGCAGAAUUCCGUGAAUCAUCGAAUCUUUGAACGCACAUUGCGCCUUCUGGUAUUCCGGAAGGCAUGCCUGUUCGAGAGUCAUUAACAACCGUUUCGAUCCCUUUCUUUCAGAAAUUACAAAGAGGAAAAGGGUUUGGUUAUGGUGGAGGAGGGAAAGGGAGCGUUUAGCCUGUAAAAAAAGAGGCUGUGUUCCGCCUCCCCCCCAAAAUUGUACAGGCGGUCGUGUGCGCCCACGCAUCGAGGUGUUGUAAAAGCUGCCACGGCACUUUUCACCUGUGCAGUGCGAGAUUGGCCAGCCGGUUUAAAAACCCCUCCAAACAAUCAAAGGUUGACCUCGGAUCAGGUAGGGAUACCCGCUGAACUUAAGCAUAUAAUAAGCGGAGGA
rnacentral:misc_RNA from 1 species